GUGACUGCGUACCUUUUGUAUAAUGGGUCAGCGACUUAUAUUCUGUAGCAAGGUUAACCGAAUAGGGGAGCCGGAGGGAAACCGAGUCUUAACCGGGCGUUAAGUUGCAGGGUAUAGACCCGAAACCCGGUGAUCUAGCCAUGGGCAGGUUGAAGGUUGGGUAACACUAACUGGAGGACCGAACCGACUAAUGUUGAAAAAUUAGCGGAUGACCUGUGGCUGGGGGUGAAAGGCCAAUCAAACCGGGAGAUAGCUGGUUCUCCCCGAAAGCUAUUUAGGUAGCGCCUCGUGAAUUCAUCUCCGGGGGUAGAGCACUGUUUCGGCUAGGGGGCCAUCCCGGCUUACCAACCCGAUGCAAACUGCGAAUACCGGAGAAUGUUAUCACGGGAGACACACGGCGGGUGCUAACGUCCGUCGUGAAGAGGGAAACAACCCAGACCGCCAGCUAAGGUCCCAAAGUCAUGGUUAAGUGGGAAACGAUGUGGGAAGGCCCAGACAGCCAGGAUGUUGGCUUAGAAGCAGCCAUCAUUUAAAGAAAGCGUAAUAGCUCACUGGUCGAGUCGGCCUGCGCGGAAGAUGUAACGGGGCUAAACCAUGCACCGAAGCUGCGGCAGCGANNGUUGGGUAGGGGAGCGUUCUGUAAGCCUGUGAAGGUGGCCUGUGAGGGUUGCUGGAGGUAUCAGAAGUGCGAAUGCUGACAUAAGUAACGAUAAAGCGGGUGAAAAGCCCGCUCGCCGGAAGACCAAGGGUUCCUGUCCAACGUUAAUCGGGGCAGGGUGAGUCGACCCCUAAGGCGAGGCCGAAAGGCGUAGUCGAUGGGAAACGGGUUAAUAUUCCCGUACUUGGUGUUACUGCGAAGGGGGGACGGAGAAGGCUAUGUUGGCCGGGCGACGGUUGUCCCGGUUUAAGCGUGUAGGUGUGUGUUCCAGGUAAAUCCGGUUCACUUUAACACUGAGGCGUGACGACGAGGCACUACGGUGCUGAAGCAACAAAUGCCCUGCUUCCAGGAAAAGCCUCUAAGCAUCAGGUAACAUCAAAUCGUACCCCAAACCGACACAGGUGGUCAGGUAGAGAAUACCAAGGCGCUUGAGAGAACUCGGGUGAAGGAACUAGGCAAAAUGGUGCCGUAACUUCGGGAGAAGGCACGCUGACACGUAGGUGAAGUGAUUUACUCAUGGAGCUGAAGUCAGUCGAAGAUACCAGCUGGCUGCAACUGUUUAUUAAAAACACAGCACUGUGCAAACACGAAAGUGGACGUAUACGGUGUGACGCCUGCCCGGUGCCGGAAGGUUAAUUGAUGGGGUCAGCGCAAGCGAAGCUCCUGAUCGAAGCCCCGGUAAACGGCGGCCGUAACUAUAACGGUCCUAAGGUAGCGAAAUUCCUUGUCGGGUAAGUUCCGACCUGCACGAAUGGCGUAAUGAUGGCCAGGCUGUCUCCACCCGAGACUCAGUGAAAUUGAACUCGCUGUGAAGAUGCAGUGUACCCGCGGCAAGACGGAAAGACCCCGUGAACCUUUACUAUAGCUUGACACUGAACAUUGAGCCUUGAUGUGUAGGAUAGGUGGGAGGCUUUGAAGUGUGGACGCCAGUCUGCAUGGAGCCGACCUUGAAAUACCACCCUUUAAUGUUUGAUGUUCUAACGUGGACCCGUUACCCGGGUUGCGGACAGUGUCUGGUGGGUAGUUUGACUGGGGCGGUCUCCUCCUAAAGAGUAACGGAGGAGCACGAAGGUUGGCUAAUCCUGGUCGGACAUCAGGAGGUUAGUGCAAUGGCAUAAGCCAGCUUGACUGCGAGCGUGACGGCGCGAGCAGGUGCGAAAGCAGGUCAUAGUGAUCCGGUGGUUCUGAAUGGAAGGGCCAUCGCUCAACGGAUAAAAGGUACUCCGGGGAUAACAGGCUGAUACCGCCCAAGAGUUCAUAUCGACGGCGGUGUUUGGCACCUCGAUGUCGGCUCAUCACAUCCUGGGGCUGAAGUAGGUCCCAAGGGUAUGGCUGUUCGCCAUUUAAAGUGGUACGCGAGCUGGGUUUAGAACGUCGUGAGACAGUUCGGUCCCUAUCUGCCGUGGGCGCUGGAGAACUGAGGGGGGCUGCUCCUAGUACGAGAGGACCGGAGUGGACGCAUCACUGGUGUUCGGGUUGUCAUGCCAAUGGCACUGCCCGGUAGCUAAAUGCGGAAGAGAUAAGUGCUGAAAGCAUCUAAGCACGAAACUUGCCCCGAGAUGAGUUCUCCCUGAGACUUAGAGUCUCCUGAAGGAACGUUGAAGACGACGACGUUGAUAGGCCGGGUGUGUAAGCGCAGCGAUGCGUUGAGCUAACCGGUACUAAUGAACCGUGAGGCUUAACCUUACAACGCCGAAG
rnacentral:rRNA from 1 species